rnacentral:tRNA from 1 species
GCGGGAUUAGCUCAGUUGGUAGAGCGAUCGCUUUACACGCGAAAGGUCGCAGGUUCAAGCCCUGCAUCCCGCA